rnacentral:rRNA from 1 species
UACGGAGGGUGCAAGCGUUGUCCGGAUUUAUUGGGUUUAAAGGGUGCGUAGGCGGCUGAUUAAGUCAGCGGUGAAAUUCCACAGCUCAACUGUGGAACUGCCAUUGAUACUGGUUAGCUUGAGUACAGAUGAGGUAGGCGGAAUUGACAGUGUAGCGGUGAAAUGCUUAGAUAUUGUCAAGAACACCUAUUGCGAAGGCAGCUUACUAAGCUGUAACUGACGCUGAGGCACGAAAGCGUGGGGAGCAAACAGG